CCUACGGGAGGCAGCAGUAGGGAAUCUUCCACAAUGGACGCAAGUCUGAUGGAGCAACGCCGCGUGAGUGAAGAAGGGUUUCGGCUCGUAAAGUUCUUUUGGCGGUGAAGAAAGAUGUAGGUAGUAACUCUCCUUUAUUUGACGUUACUUACUUAGAAAGUCACGGCUAACUACGUGCCAGCAGCCGCGGUAAUACGUAGGGGGCAAGCGUUGUCCGGAUUUAUUGGGCGUAAAGCGAGUGCAGGCGGUUCAAUAAGUCUGAUGUGAAAGCCUUCGGCUCAACCGGAGAAUUGCAUCAGAAACUGUUGAGCUUGAGUGCAGAAGAGGAGAGUAGAACUCCAUGUGUAGCGGUGGAAUGCGUAGAUAUAUGGAAGAACACCAGUGGCGAAGGCGGCUCUCUGGUCUGAAACUGACGCUGAGGCUCGAAAGCAUGGGUAGCGAACAGGAUUAGAUACCCGGGUAGUC
rnacentral:rRNA from 1 species